UACGGGGGGGGCAAGCGUUGUUCGGAAUUACUGGGCGUAAAGGGCUCGUAGGCGGCCAACUAAGUCAGACGUGAAAUCCCUCGGCUUAACCGGGGAACUGCAUCUGAUACUGGAUGGCUUGAGUUCGGGAGAGGGAUGCGGAAUUCCAGGUGUAGCGGUGGAAUGCGCAGAUAUCAGGAGGAACACCGGUGGCGAAGGCGGGAUCCUGGGCC
rnacentral:rRNA from 1 species